GUUUGAUCCUGGCUCAGAGCGAACGCUGGCGGCAGGCCUAACACAUGCAAGUCGAACGAAGUCUUCGGACUUAGUGGCGGACGGGUGAGUAACACGUGGGAACGUGCCUUUAGGUUCGGAAUAACUCAGGGAAACUUGUGCUAAUACCGAAUGUGCCCUUCGGGGGAAAGAUUUAUCGCCUUUAGAGCGGCCCGCGUCUGAUUAGCUAGUUGGUGAGGUAAAGGCUCACCAAGGCGACGAUCAGUAGCUGGUCUGAGAGGAUGAUCAGCCACAUUGGGACUGAGACACGGCCCAAACUCCUACGGGAGGCAGCAGUGGGGAAUCUUGCGCAAUGGGCGAAAGCCUGACGCAGCCAUGCCGCGUGAAUGAUGAAGGUCUUAGGAUUGUAAAAUUCUUUCACCGGGGACGAUAAUGACGGUACCCGGAGAAGAAGCCCCGGCUAACUUCGUGCCAGCAGCCGCGGUAAUACGAAGGGGGCUAGCGUUGCUCGGAAUUACUGGGCGUAAAGGGAGCGUAGGCGGACAUUUAAGUCAGGGGUGAAAUCCCGGGGCUCAACCUCGGAAUUGCCUUUGAUACUGGGUGUCUUGAGUGUGAGAGAGGUAUGUGGAACUCCGAGUGUAGAGGUGAAAUUCGUAGAUAUUCGGAAGAACACCAGUGGCGAAGGCGACAUACUGGCUCAUUACUGACGCUGAGGCUCGAAAGCGUGGGGAGCAAACAGGAUUAGAUACCCUGGUAGUCCACGCCGUAAACGAUGAUUGCUAGUUGUCGGGAUGCAUGCAUUUCGGUGACGCAGCUAACGCAUUAAGCAAUCCGCCUGGGGAGUACGGUCGCAAGAUUAAAACUCAAAGGAAUUGACGGGRGCCCGCACAA
rnacentral:rRNA from 1 species